rnacentral:rRNA from 1 species
GAUGAACGCUGGCGGCGUGCCUAAUACAUGCAAGUCGAGCGAACAGACGAGGAGCUUGCUCCUCUGACGUUAGCGGCGGACGGGUGAGUAACACGUGGAUAACCUACCUAUAAGACUGGGAUAACUUCGGGAAACCGGAGCUAAUACCGGAUAAUAUAUUGAACCGCAUGGUUCAAUAGUGAAAGACGGCUUUGCUGUCACUUAUAGAUGGAUCCGCGCCGCAUUAGCUAGUUGGUAAGGUAACGGCUUACCAAGGCAACGAUGCGUAGCCGACCUGAGAGGGUGAUCGGCCACACUGGAACUGGGACGCGGUCCAGACUCCUACGGGAGGCAGCAGUAGGGAAUCUUCCGCAAUGGGCGGAAGCUUGACGGAGCAACGCCGCGUGAGUGAUGAAGGUCUUCGGAUCGUAAAACUCUGUUAUUAGGGAAGAACAAAUGUGUAAGUAGCUAUGCACGUCUUGACGGUACCUAAUCAGAAAGCCACGGCUAACUACGUG